rnacentral:rRNA from 1 species
AGCGUUCUGUAAGCCGUUGAAGGUGGCCUGUGAGGGUUGCUGGAGGUAUCAGAAGUGCGAAUGCUGACAUGAGUAACUAUAAAGGGGGUGAAAGGCCCCCUCGCCGAAAACCCAAGGUUUCCUGCACAACGCUAAUCGGUGCAGGGUUAGUCGGCCCCUAAGGUGAGGCAGAAAUGCGUAAUCGAUGGGAAGCAGGUUAAUAUUCCUGCACCUCUUAUUACUGCGAUGGAGAGACGGAGAAGGCUAAAUCAUCCUGGUGUUGGUUAUCCAGGUUUAAGCGUGUAGGGAGUGUUCUUAGGUAAAUCCGGGGACACAAUC